UGCCUCCGUACAAACAAAAACAAAGUGAAACCACGAAUGGCUCAUUAAAUCAGUUAUUAUCUAUUAGAUUAUAACUAUCUACAUGGAUAACUGUAGUAAUUCUAGAGCUAAUACAUGCCUUAAGCUUCGACCUUACGGGAGAGGUGGCACUUUAUUAGACCAAGAUCAUCGGGUUCGUCCCUUUGUGAAUGGUGACUCUUGAUAACUACGCUAAUCGCAUGGCCCUAGCGCCGGCGAUAGGUCUAAUGAGUAACUGCCCUAUCAACUAGAUGGUAGGUUAGUCGCCUACCAUGGUUGUUACGGGUAACGGGGAAUCAGGGUUCGAUUCCGGAGAGGGAGCCUGAGAAACGGCUACCACAUCCAAGGAAGGCAGCAGGCACGCAAAUUACCCACUCUUAGAACGAGGAGGUAGUGACGAAAAAUACCGGUGCGGGACUCUUAGGAGGCCUCGUAAUCGGAAUGAGCCAGACAUAAAUCCUCUCACGAGGAGCUAUUAGAGGGCAAGUCUGGUGCCAGCAGCCGCGGUAAUUCCAGCUCUAAUAGCGUAUACUAAAAUUGUUGCGUUUAAAAAGCUCGUAGUUGGAUCUCGACUCAUGUUAGGUAGCCCACCUUUGGUGGUUACUGCCUGACUGAGUUAAAAAAGGAUUCGUCUCUUAAUGCUCUUAAUUGAGUGUUUUGAGCGAACCAUAGUCUUUACUUUGUUAAAACCAGAGUGCUUCAAGCAGGCAUUCGCCCGAAUAAUCUUGCAUGGAAUAAUGGAAUAGGACUUCGGUUCUAUUCUGUUGGUCUUCGGAUCCGAGGUAAUGAUUAAGAGGGACAGACGGGGGCAUUAGUAUUACGGCGCUAGAGGUGAAAUUCUUGGACCGUCGUAAGACUAACAACAGCGAAAGCAUUUGCCAAGAAUGUUUUCUUUAAUCAAGAACGAAAGUUAGAGGUUCGAAGGCGAUCAGAUACCGCCCUAGUUCUAACCAUAAACGAUACUGACCAGUGACCAGCCUGGAAAGGAAUUUUACGGACCAGGCUGGGAACUUCUUCGGGAAACCAAAGUUUUUGGGUUCCGGGGGAAGUAUGGUUGCAAAACUGAAACUUAAAGGAAUUGACGGAAGAGCACCACCAGGAGUGGAGCCUGCGGCUUAAUUUGACUCAACACGGGAAAACUCACCCGGCCCGGACACGAUAAGGAUUGACAGAUUGAUAGCUCUUUCUUGAUAUUGUGGGUGGUGGUGCAUGGCCGUUCUUAGUUGGUGGACCGAUUUGUCUGGUUAAUUCCGAUAACGAACGAGACUUAUGCCUAAUAAAUAGACACCAUUCUCCUUCGGGCGAAUGCUGACUUCUUAAAGGGACAAGCGGUGUUAAAGCCGCACGAGAAAGAGCAAUAACAGGUCUGUGAUGCCCUUAGAUGUCCGGGGCCGCACGCGCGCUACACUGAAGGGUGCAGCGUGUGUGGGUUUCCUGCUCCGAAAGGAGUGGGGAACCAUGGGAAACCUCUUCGUGCUUGGGAUAGGGCAUUGUAACUAUACCCUUGAACGAGGAAUUCCCAGUAAGCGUGAGUCAAUACCUAGCGUUGAUUACGUCCCUGCUCUUUGUACACACCGCCCGUCGCUACUACCGAUUGAAUGAUUUAGUGAGGUCUUCGGACUGAAUGUUGCAGACUCUUCGGACGAUGCGACGUUCGGAAAGAUGACCGAACUUGAUCAUUUAGAGGAAGUAAAAGUCGUAACAAGGUUUCC
rnacentral:rRNA from 1 species